rnacentral:rRNA from 1 species
AACGUAGGAGGCAAGCGUUAUCCGGAGUUACUGGGCGUAAAGCGCAUGUAGGCGGUUAUGCAAGUGGCGUGUGAAAGCUCCCGGCUAAACUGGGAGAGGACACGUCAGACUGCAUGGCUAGAGGGUGUUAGAGGGGCGCAGAAGUUCGGGGUGUAGCGGUGAAAUGUGUAGAGAUCCCGGAGGAAUACCAGUGGUGAAGACGGCGCCCUGGGACAUUAACUGACG